rnacentral:rRNA from 1 species
AACGAACGCUGGCGGCAUGCCUAACACAUGCAAGUCGAACGAGACCUUCGGGUCUAGUGGCGCACGGGUGCGUAACGCGUGGGAAUCUGCCCUUGGGUUCGGAAUAACAGUUAGAAAUGACUGCUAAUACCGGAUAAUGUCUUCGGACCAAAGAUUUAUCGCCUAGGGAUGAGCCCGCGUAGGAUUAGCUAGUUGGUGAGGUAAAGGCUCACCAAGGCGACGAUCCUUAGCUGGUCUGAGAGGAUGAUCAGCCACACUGGGACUGAGACACGGCCCAGACUCCUACGGGAGGCAGCAGUGGGAAUAUUGGACAAUGGGCGAAAGCCUGAUCCAGCAAUGCCGCGUGAGUGAUGAAGGCCUUAGGGUUGUAAAGCUCUUUUACCCGGGAUGAUAAUGACAGUACCGGGAGAAUAAGCCCCGGCUAACUCCGUGCCAGCAGCCGCGGU